rnacentral:rRNA from 1 species
AGAGUUUGAUCCUGGCUCAGGACGAACGCUGGCGGCGUGCCUAACACAUGCAAGUCGAACGAGGACCAGAGAGCUUGCUCUCUGUAGCCGAGUGGCGGACGGGUGAGUAACACGUGACCAACCUGUCUUCAGGUGGGGGACAACCUGGGGAAACCUGGGCUAAUACCGCAUGAAGUCCAUGGUUCGCAUGAACCGUGAAUGAAAGAGGGCCUCUGCUUGCAAGCUCUCGCCUGAUGAGGGGGUCGCGACGUAUCAGCUAGUUGGUGAGGUAAUGGCUCACCAAGGCUAUGACGCGUAGCGGGUCUGAGAGGACGACCCGUCACAUUGGGACUGAGAUACGGCCCAGACUCCUACGGGAGGCAGCAGUGGGGAAUAUUGCGCAGUGGCCGAAAGGUUGACGCAGCGACGCCGCGUGUGGGAGGAAGCCCUUCGGGGUGUAAACCAUUGUCAGGGGGGAAGAAACUCGGUAGUGCGAAUAGUGCUGUCGACUGACGGUACCCCCAGAGAAGCGCCGCUAACU